rnacentral:rRNA from 1 species
UACAGAGGGGGCAAGCGUUGUUCGGAAUUACUGGGCGUAAAGGGCGCGUAGGCGGCCUGCUAAGUCGAACGUGAAAUCCCCGGGCUCAACCCGGGAACUGCGUCCGAUACUGGCAGGCUUGAAUCCGGGAGAGGGAUGCGGAAUUCCAGGUGUAGCGGUGAAAUGCGUAGAUAUCUGGAGGAACACCGGCGGCGAAGGCGGCAUCCUGGACCGGCAUUGACGCUGAGGCGCGAAAGCGUGGGGAGCAAACAGG